rnacentral:rRNA from 1 species
GGGCCUAACACAUGCAAGUCGAGCGCACCUUCGGGUGAGCGGCGGACGGGUUAGUAACGCGUGGGAACGUACCCUUUUCUAAGGAAUAGCCACUGGAAACGGUGAGUAAUACCUUAUACGCCCUUCGGGGGAAAGAUUUAUCGGAGAAGGAUCGGCCCGCGUUAGAUUAGAUAGUUGGUGGGGUAACGGCCUACCAAGUCUACGAUCUAUAGCUGGUUUUAGAGGAUGAUCAGCAACACUGGGACUGAGACACGGCCCAGACUCCUACGGGAGGCAGCAGUGGGGAAUCUUGGACAAUGGGCGCAAGCCUGAUCCAGCCAUGCCGCGUGAGUGAUGAAGGCCUUAGGGUCGUAAAGCUCUUUCGCUGGGGAUGAUAAUGACAGUACCCAGUAAAGAAACCCCGGCUAACUCCGUGCCAGCAGCCGCGGUAAUACGGAGGGGGUUAGCGUCGUUCGGAAUUACUGGGCGUAAAGCGCGCGUAGGCGGAUUGGAAAGUUGGGGGUGAAAUCCCGGGGCUCAACCUCGGAACUGCCUCCAAAACUAUCAGUCUAGAGUUCGAGAGAGGUGAGUGGAAUUCCGAGUGUAGAGGUGAAAUUCGUAGAUAUUCGGAGGAACACCAGUGGCGAAGGCGGCUCACUGGUUCGAUACU